AAACUAACAGAUUUACUUCGGUAAUGACGUUAGGAAAGCGAGCGGCGGAUGGGUGAGUAACACGUGGGGAACCUGCCCCAUAGUCUGGGAUACCACUUGGAAACAGGUGCUAAUACCGGAUAAGAAAGCAGAUCGCAUGAUCAGCUUUUAAAAGGCGGCGUAAGCUGUCGCUAUGGGAUGGCCCCGCGGUGCAUUAGCUAGUUGGUAAGGGAAAGGCUUACCAAGGCGAUGAUGCAUAGCCGAGUUGAGAGACUGAUCGGCCACAUUGGGACUGAGACACGGCCCAAACUCCUACGGGAGGCAGCAGUAGGGAAUCUUCCACAAUGGACGCAAGUCUGAUGGAGCAACGCCGCGUGAGUGAAGAAGGUUUUCGGAUCGUAAAGCUCUGUUGUUGGUGAA
rnacentral:rRNA from 1 species